rnacentral:rRNA from 1 species
UUGAACGCUGGCGGAAUGCUUUACACAUGCAAGUCGAGCGGCAGCGCGGGGCAACCUGGCGGCGAGCGGCGAACGGGUGAGUAAUAUAUCGGAACGUACCCUGUCGUGGGGGAUAACACAUCGAAAGAUGUGCUAAUACCGCAUACGACCUGAGGGUGAAAGCGGGGGAUCGCAAGACCUCGCGCGAUAGGAGCGGCCGAUAUCGGAUUAGCUAGUUGGUGAGGUAAAGGCUCACCAAGGCGACGAUCCGUAGCUGGUCUGAGAGGACGACCAGCCACACUGGAACUGAGACACGGUCCAGACUCCUACGGGAGGCAGCAGUGGGGAAUUUUGGACAAUGGGCGAAAGCCUGAUCCAGCCAUUCCGCGUGAGUGAAGAAGGCCUUCGGGUUGUAAAGCUCUUUCGGCAGGAACGAAAUGGUCACGGUUAAUAACCGUGACUUCUGACGGUACCUGAAGAAGAAGCACCGGCUAACUACGU